rnacentral:rRNA from 1 species
UACGUAGGUGGCAAGCGUUGUCCGGAAUUAUUGGGCGUAAAGCGCGCGCAGGCGGUCCUUUAAGUCUGAUGUGAAAGCCCACGGCUCAACCGUGGAGGGUCAUUGGAAACUGGGGGACUUGAGUACAGAAGAGAAGAGUGGAAUUCCACGUGUAGCGGUGAAAUGCGUAGAGAUGUGGAGGAACACCAGUGGCGAAGGCGACUCUGUGGUCUGUAACUGACGCUGAGGCGCGAAAGCGUGGGGAGCGAACAGG